GUGCCUCCCUUGGGAACACCCUUGGUUUCCANACAACGUUGGGGCGGCUUGGCUUUCUUUUCUCCCCGCGACGUAAAACUCGCUUGGGCUAACAGGCGUCGGGCUAAACCAACGCAACAAAAAACCGGCGUGAAAUGCGCCAAGGAACAUGAAAGAGAGUGGGCUCUUCUGGUGUCAGUACUGCUGCGCCAGGACGGGCGUCGUCUUCUUGAUGAGUUUAUAAUGACUCUCGGCAACGGAUAUCUCGGCUCUUACAUCGAUGAAGAACGUAGCAAAAUGCGAUACUUGGUGUGAAUUGCAGAAUCCCGUGAACCAUCGAGUCUUUGAACGCAAGUUGCGCCCGAAUCCUUUUGGUCGAGGGCACGUCUGCCUGGGUGUCACGU
rnacentral:rRNA from 1 species